rnacentral:lncRNA from 1 species
CCCCUUACCAUCUUUUAUUUCCAGGAAAAGCUGCUGUGGUGGCUGCAGUCUUAGGCGUCGACGAUCUCCCCGGCGUCCGACGAGGCCAGUACCAGCUCCGGCUGCACCGCCUCAGCUCCGAUGGUGCCGUCGAUAGCGUUGGGCCGCCCCAAUGCCUUGAGCGCCAGGUGUGCCGCCUUCUGCCCUGAGAUCAUCAUCGCCCCGAAGGUCGGCCCCUGCAACCAAACCAAACACCACCGUGAAUUCCUCGUAAGGAACAAACCUUCUUCGUUUGUCUCUCAAGAAAUUCACAUGACGAAGAAGAUCAAAUCUUUUGCCACGAAAUCAACAAAUUUUAGGACUAUGCUCUGUUUAUGUUUGUUUCCCUGCAACCAAAUCAAAAUUAGGAAGACCUUCCCUGAGAGCUCUGUUUCUCUCGGGAAACAAAUGUGAUGAAAGGAACCUUGCGACGCACCCCUUAAAUCUUUACCGAAAGAACAAAAUUUGCAGCCAAAGAAUGAAGAAAGAUGAUAUUUUGAUACCAUUCUUGGAGCACCGUCAAUCUCGGCGACCUCCAUGCCGGUAACGAUCAUCCCGGGCACGACCUCCCUGGUGAGGCGGACGAUCGCGUCCUCCGCCGCGUUCAUGUCGAGGGCUUUCAUCCCCGGCACGGAAUCGAUCAUCCCGAUGCCCUUGAGCCGCUUCACUCCGGUGGCGCCGAACGGCCCGUCGUGGCCGCAGGAGCUGACCACCACCCUGGCCUCCAUCACGUUGGGGUCCAUGCAGGACUGUGUGUCGUGGUUCAUUGACACCAGCGCCCAGUUGGUCACCACGCCGGCAACGCGGCCUUCCUUGACGAUGAGGUCCUCGGCGGCGACCGCGUUGAAGAGCUUGACAUUGGGGCGGGCGAGGAGGCGGCUCAUGAUGGUGGAGGUGAAGAGCGCGGCGUGGUGGAUCACGACGUAGCUGUCGGCUUCGUCAUAAGCCACGCCGAGCUCGUCCAGGAAGAGGUGGGCGGGCUUGCGGACGACCAUGGCCGAGAAGAGCUGGCCGCCGAGCCACGCACCGCCGCCGGGGGAGACGGACUGCUCCACGAUGGCCACGCGCACCGACGGAUCCUUGGAUAUCUCAUACGCGCAGGACAGCCCGGCGGAGCCGGCGCCGAUGACCACCACGUCAGUGUCGGCGUAGGUGAUCAUGUCGGUCAUGUAGCGGCGGGUCAUCUCGCGGGAAACGACCGACUCCUUGAUGGGCUCGAAGCGGAAGGAAUCGAGGUCGUACCUGGGGGCGGCGGAGGCGGCGGUGACGGACAAGGAAGGUCUGCCGCGGCCGGGGAGGGAGCGGAGGGCGGUGGCCGGGAGGCGGAAGCCGCUGAAGGACGAGCGGUGGUGGUUGUCGGAGAUGAGGGACUUGGGGUUGGAGAGGAGGGAGGAGGUGGCCACGGAGGCUGCCAUUGCAGGAGGGUGGCGAAAGGUGUACGUUUGGAGUUGGGGGAGAGGCCGGAGGAGGAGGAGGAGGAUGAGAGUGGAUGGAUGGGGUGUAAGCGAAGGGGGGGUAUAAAUAGCGGAUAUUCGGGAGUGAAAAUAUCUAAGUUAGCUUUUGGGUGUCAUUUUCG